UACGGAGGGUGCAAGCGUUGUCCGGAUUUAUUGGGUUUAAAGGGUGCGUAGGCGGCCCUGUAAGUCAGUGGUGAAAUACUGCAGCUUAACUGUAGCAUUGCCAUUGAUACUGUAGGGCUUGAGUACAGAUGAGGUAGGCGGAAUUGAUGGUGUAGCGGUGAAAUGCAUAGAUACCAUCAAGAACACCGAUUGCGAAGGCAGCUUACUAAGCUGUAACAU
rnacentral:rRNA from 1 species